AAACGUCUGUUUAUCCAUUCUAUUUAUUAGGUUAUCCUUAGAAUUUUAUCUUCUGUUCAUUUAUGUAAGUGAGUGAGACUAGUAUGUAUUUUUCAUGACUAGUGAAAUUGAUUGGGUGGGGAACCAGUGAUGAUGGUGUAGAUUAUUGGCUUCUAGCCAACCAAUGGAACAGAGGAUGGGGUGAUGUAUGUCCUUUAAACAGAUCUCUCUUGUCAUGCAAGGUGCCCUCUCUUGAAGUGAGUCAAAGGCCAGAUGGCAACCAAGGCUGUAGUUCUCGGAUUGAAACUUUCAGGUUCAGGCGUCUUCAUCUACUGACAUGACUUCAGUACAAACGAUGUUACCUACAUUAAAUGAGGGAAGUGCCAUUAAUCAAAUAGAUCAUUCUACACGACAAACUGAAGAUUUCCUGUAACAGCCGUUGAUUAACACUCAAGCACAAAAAGAGUGCUUAAUGUUCAUUAUAUGAAUUUCUGGGGAAGAGACCCUGUUUUCGGCGAUCGAAAUAAUCUAAUUAAAAUUUUUGUUCUGCAAAUGUUAUCAGCCUGGAUCUUGUUUGUUCCCCAGCAACAAGGCUGCAAUUCUGAAUUUUAAUGUUGCAUGUGGAAUGGAGUUUUAAUGUUGUUUUGAUACAAGUGUUUGUAUAGUUAUACUACAUGAUUUCCAAUGUAUAUAUAGGGCAUCUA